rnacentral:rRNA from 1 species
ACUCCCCAGGCGGGGUACUUAUUGCGUUAACUCCGGCACAGAAGGGGUCGAUACCUCCUACACCUAGUACCCAUCGUUUACGGCCAGGAUUACCGGGGUAUCUAAUCCCGUUCACUCCCCUGGCUUUCGCGCCUCAGCGUCAGACACAGUCCAGAAAGUCGCCUUCGCCACUGGUGUUCCUCCUAAUAUCUACGCAUUUCACCGCUACACUAGGAAUUCCACUUUCCUCUCCUGCACUCAAGAAAUGUAGUUUCCAUCCCAUCACGGGGUUGAGCCCCGAACUUUUAAGACAGACUUACAUUCCCGCCUGCGCGCGCUUUACGCCCAAUAAUUCCGGACAACGCUUGCCACCUACGUAUUACCGCGGCUGCUGGCACGUAGUUAGCCGUGGCUUCCUCCUCAGGUACCGUCAUUACUUAACAUUAUUCACAUUAAGCACAUUCGUCCCUGAAGACAGAGCUUUACGAUCCGAAAACCUUCUUCACUCACGCGGCGUUGCUCCGUCAGACUUUCGUC